rnacentral:rRNA from 1 species
UACGUAGGGUGCGAGCGUUAAUCGGAAUUACUGGGCGUAAAGCGUGCGCAGGCGGUCUGUUAAGACAGAUGUGAAAUCCCCGGGCUUAACCUGGGAACUGCAUUUGUGACUGGCAGGCUAGAGUAUGGCAGAGGGGGGUAGAAUUCCACGUGUAGCAGUGAAAUGCGUAGAGAUGUGGAGGAAUACCGAUGGCGGAAGGCAGCCCCCUGGGCCAAUACUGACGCUCCAUGCACGAAAGCGUGGGGAGCAAACGAGG